AUUGAACGCUGGCGGCAUGCCUUACACAUGCAAGUCGAACGGCAGCACGGGAGCAAUCCUGGUGGCGAGUGGCGAACGGGUGAGUAAAGUAUCGGAACGUGCCCAGUCGUGGGGGAUAACGUAGCGAAAGUUACGCUAAUACCGCAUACGAUCUAUGGAUGACAGCGGGGGAUCGCAAGACCUCGCGCGAUUGGAGCGGCCGAUAUCAGAUUAGGUAGUUGGUGGGGUAAAGGCUCACCAAGCCGACGAUCUGUAGCUGGUCUGAGAGGACGACCAGCCACACUGGGACUGAGACACGGCCCAGACUCCUACGGGAGGCAGCAGUGGGGAAUUUUGGACAAUGGGCGCAAGCCUGAUCCAGCCGUGCCGCGUGCAGGAUGAAGGCCUUCGGGUUGUAAACUGCUUUUGUACGGAACGAAAAGGUUUGACUUAAUACGUUGGACUCAUGACGGUACCGUAAGAAUAAGCACCGGCUAACUACGUGCCAGCAGCCGCGGUAA
rnacentral:rRNA from 1 species